rnacentral:misc_RNA from 1 species
AAAGUCACUGUGGUUGCUCUUGGGCCACUUACAAAUAUCGCUUUGGCCAUUGAACUUGAUCCAACAUUUUCGAAGAAAAUAGGGCAAAUUGUUCUUCUCGGUGGUGCAUUUUCAGUAAAUGGAAACGUUAAUCCAGCAGCGGAGGCUAAUAUCUUUGGUGACCCAGAUGCGGCUGACAUUGUUUUCACCAGUGGAGCUGAUAUUUUGGCUGUGGGAAUAAAUGUUACACAUCAAGUU